UUCACAAAAAACUACUUCGAUCCGUUAGUCCUAGUUAUGUCGAUAAAUAAAAUUUGAUUUCGAUAGCCACAAACAAUCGUGUGAUGAUCAAAUAGAUAGAGACAACUGAUGGAUCCAAAAAUUUACAGUGAUAAUCUUGAUGAUAUUUGUAGCAUACUAUCAAAAUUUUACUUCAAUCGAACAUCAUUACUAUGAUCAAUUUAGCACGGG
rnacentral:lncRNA from 1 species